GACGAAGGGGGCUAGCGUUGUUCGGAAUUACUGGGCGUAAAGCGAGUGUAGGCGGCUUGCCAAGUCGGGUGUGAAAGCCUCGAGCUCAACUCGAGAAAUGCAUUCGGUACUGGCAGGCUAGAGGACCGGAGAGGAUAGUGGAAUUCCCAGUGUAGUGGUGAAAUACGUAGAGAUUGGGAAGAACACCAGUGGCGAAGGCGGCUAUCUGGACGGUUACUGACGCUAAGACUCGAAAGCGUGGGGAGCAAACAGG
rnacentral:rRNA from 1 species